rnacentral:lncRNA from 1 species
UUGCUGCUCCCCUCGCCGGGCUGCAAAGAGAUGCAGCUUUUAGAAACAAUUCCUUAUUUAUGUAUCUUAUGAUCAUUCCAAACUCCUGACAGCGCCGGGAUGAAGAUGCCGCUGAGCUGAGAAAACGCCUUUGGAAGAGCUGCAGGCAAAGCGAUAGCGAGGGGAGAGCACAAGUAUCAGUUGGGAAGCAUCAGUGGGACUUUGUCUUUCCCCAGCUUCCUGUGCCAAUAUGUCAUUUCAGCAUUCCCGGGGUGUGGAAGUGCUGUGGAGAGCUGAUGGCAAUUUAUUCUUCCCAUCAGAGAUGUCUUCCCUGGUUGUGGCAAACACAAGUGGAGAGGAGAUGUCUUAGGGACCUUACUAAGUCUUGCAUUCAGGCUCUUGGCCCUGACGAAGCAGAAGCUGCCUGCAGGCAGCUUUUGGACAGCUGGAUGAAGAUAUCACUCGUCAACCAUCAGCCCUCUCCAGCCCUGGGAAAAGGUGAUGUGAUGGAAGGGCACUCUGUGCUGACCUGA